rnacentral:lncRNA from 1 species
UUCACAUCACUUAGGUGAUUUGAUUUGCAAUUCGGGUAGACAUACGCCAAUUGCCAUACAUAGUCGCAUUAGAACUGUCACGACCCGGAACUCCCCUCGAGCCCGUGAUAACCGCCGCGAUGUCUCGAUCGACACUCAUUACCCAGAAUGUCAACUGGAACCCUGCAAGGCUUUAAUAUUAGCUUAUCAUUUCCCUUGUGAGUAACCGUUGCCAAAUAUCACGUUCUAAAAGAUUUUUAAACUAUUUUCAACUUAAAACAAUAAAAAAUAAUUUUUGUCGCAUAGAGGCAUUUUGGUCAUUUUUCCUCACAAAUCUUGAAACCAGUUAAAAAUGUAGUAUACGAGUGGAAAACACAUAUUUCAUAAUCAAAAAUAAAUUCAAAUGUCUAAAACAUUCAUUUAAAACGAAACUAUAUCUAUUUGAAUAUAACAAAAAUAUUCAAUAAAAUAUUAUAUUUUCUUAUAAAACAAUAUUUAUAGAGUUAUCGGUAAAUAUUUUUUUUGUAGCGUAAAAGCUAAAUAAAUUCAUACAUACUGUAAUACAGAUAACCAAAGUAUAAAAUUUAAUUUACAGUGACACGUGGGCCCACGAAUGACUAAAAGUAUAAAAAGAAAUGAACCUACAAUUUUUGGAUGUGGCAAGUCCAACUGUAGUCAUCGACGACAUCAGUUAUCUACAAUCUAUUCUGAGCCUAAAAUGGGUGGAAAUGAGGGUGGUGAGAUUAUAUAAUCCUAGUGAGUAAACACAUACCAUCUAAAAUAUCUAAAGCCAAGUAAAUGGAAACAGAUAAAAUAGUUUUAACAUACUGUAAUUCAUCACCUUUCAACUUGUUUCAACCAAAUAAAAUCAAUUCAUAUAAAUCGAGUAAUCAACUUGGCUUAUGAAUUUCUUAAAAGCUUUGGCUCGUGCCAAACUCAUUCUCAUGCCUAGUUAUCAGGGAUACCUUGAUCGAGGGCUAUCCCAACGAAGUCCACCAAGGCUGUUAAAAAAAGUUAAGUACGCAUAAAUCAUGUUUUUGUUUCGAAAACGUAGUCGUUCCUUUGCGUUGGCUGAGUUCCUCUUUAGAUAAAACCGAAAAAUUAUGAAGUCAUUUCAUUAAAUCACAUUUUGUUUAUAAAAUCGAAAAAUUAAUCAUUUAAUUCAUUUUCCAUAAAAUUCACAACAUCGGAUAAAAACCACUUUAGAUAAUUAAGAUGAUAGUAAGGUUACUCACAGUACUAGGAGUUCGAUAUACUCCUAUUCCCAGUCUUCGGGCACAAUCUCUUUACCCUUGUUAGAGGGCUCACCACCUAUACAUCCUACUUGACACGAAUUUCAAUAAAUUGUGUCAAUUUAUCAUAAACUAUUUCAGGCUCUAUAAAUCUAUAUGAAUGCACGAAAUGUGAUGUAAAAUGUCCGAAUAGCCGUUUAAAUACGGUAUUCGACCUAAUUUGCACUAUUCUUGGUGUAAUUGGCUAAAACCUCCAAUUUAACUUCAAAUCGAUUUCUUUCACUUUCUACACUCCAAUUACACUUAAAAUACCUCAAUGACUGUGAAUAUGAUUCAAUUUAUCAAUCCAAAUCAUAAAUCGCACAUGUCUAUACAUUAGGUAAAACUUCAGAUUUUCAUGCCAAAAUUUCUCAUUAAAUUUCUAGCCUCACCAAUUAUUAGAUGCCACCAAAAUAUCAUGAAAUAUCAUCAAUUUCAACCUUAAUAUCCUUCCUAGAAAAUUCGGCCUCUUGUGGGUUUGUGAAGAACAAAGUGAUUCCUUACUAGAUUUUCAUACUUUCCAUUACUAAACAACCAAAACACUUAAUUAGCUUGAAAUCUAGCAAAAUCAAUGCUCAAAACCUCUCCUCUCAAAUUCGGCCAGCAUGGGUUCAUCAUGCAAACUUGAGUUCUAAGCAUGGAAAAUGAAAAAGAAAGCAUGGGUAGUGUAAAUCACAAGAUAAAAUCACAAAAUUUUACCUUUAUUAGCUUAANGGUAGUAUAAAUACAUAAGAUAAAAUCACAAAAUUUUACCUUUAUUAGCAUAAUCCCUUGAAAUCCCACACUUUUUCUUCAAUUUUCCCACCUAAGGUUUCUGUUCUUUCCUUUCCUCUUCACUUCAUGCUUUG